AGUGAACGCUGGCGGUAGGCCUAACACAUGCAAGUCGAACGGCAGCACAGUAAGAGCUUGCUCUUACGGGUGGCGAGUGGCGGACGGGUGAGGAAUACAUCGGAAUCUACUUUUUCGUGGGGGAUAACGUAGGGAAACUUACGCUAAUACCGCAUACGACCUACGGGUGAAAGCAGGGGAUCUUCGGACCUUGCGCGAUUGAAUGAGCCGAUGUCGGAUUAGCUAGUUGGCGGGGUAAAGGCCCACCAAGGCGACGAUCCGUAGCUGGUCUGAGAGGAUGAUCAGCCACACUGGAACUGAGACACGGUCCAGACGCCUACGGGAGGCAGCAGUGGGGAAUAGUGGACAAUGGGCGCAAGCCUGAUCCAGCCAUGCCGCGUGGGUGAAGAAGGCCUUCGGGUUGUAAAGCCCUUUUGUUGGGAAAGAAAAGCAGCAGGUUAAUACCCAGCUGUUCUGACGGUACCCAAAGAAUAAGCACCGGCUAACUUCGUG
rnacentral:rRNA from 1 species